rnacentral:rRNA from 1 species
UACAGAGGUCCCAAGCGUUGUUCGGAUUCAUUGGGCGUAAAGGGUGCGUAGGUGGCGCCGUAAGUCGGGUGUGAAAUUUCGGAGCUUAACUCCGAAACUGCAUUCGAUACUGCGGUGCUUGAGGACUGGAGAGGAGACUGGAAUUCAUGGUGUAGCAGUGAAAUGCGUAGAGAUCAUGAGGAAGACCAGUGGCGAAGGCGGGUCUCUGGACAGUUACUGACACUGAGGCACGAAGGCCAGGGGAGCAAACGGG